GGAGGGAUGGCUGAGUGGCCGAAAGCGGCGGUCUUGAAAACCGUUGGGCGUUUACGCGCCCCGUGGGUUCGAAUCCUACUCCCUCCGCCA
rnacentral:tRNA from 2 species